rnacentral:rRNA from 1 species
UACGAAGGGGGCUAGCGUUGCUCGGAAUCACUGGGCGUAAAGCGCACGUAGGCGGAUCUUUAAGUCAGAGGUGAAAUCCCAAGGCUCAACCUUGGAACUGCCUUUGAUACUGGGGAUCUCGAGUCCGGAAGAGGUUGGUGGAACUGCGAGUGUAGAGGUGAAAUUCGUAGAUAUUCGCAAGAACACCAGUGGCGAAGGCGGACGAGCUGGUCCAUUACUGACGCUGAGGCGCGACAGCGUGGGGAGCAAACAGG